rnacentral:rRNA from 1 species
AUGCAACACUACUUCAUGGAGAAUCCUACAUAUCCACCGCACCUCUUCCGGAGAAGGUACCGAAUGCGCCGAUCCCUCUUUGUGAAAUUUGUUCAAGCUUGCGAGCCAAAUUACCGGUAUUUUACUCAAAGAAGAAAUGUUGGGGGCUUAAAGGGAUUUAGUGCAUAUCAAAAAAUCUCCGCAGCUAUGCGGGUGAUUGCAUAUGGCGUUCCGGCUGACUACGUCGAUGAGUACCUUCGCAUUGGUGAAGAAAAUACAAUUGAGUCAGUGCGUAGAUUUGCACAAGUGAUCAUCCGUGUCUUUGGUCCUGAGUAUCUUCGGCACCCACCGAGGAUGACACAAAGAAAUUGA